rnacentral:lncRNA from 1 species
AGGAAGCUACAAUGUCUGUUGUGAGGCCGUCUGUUUCGAACGAGCAAAGCUGAUAAACGAGUCGCUGAACACGAGCGUCGAGCCUUGUGACGAUUUCUACUCGUACGCCUGCGGCGGGUGGAUUGACAAGCACGAAAUACCAGACGACAAGUCGAGUACCGGGAACUUUUACCUGCUGCGGGAUGAACUGCAAGUCACUCUGAAAAAUAUAUUCGGAAACAUGACGCUCGUAGAGCAGAACCAAAAUAUAACGGACAAGCUUGCUGCUGCCUACAAUGCCUGUGUCGG